AGAAUGUUCUGGCAGUUAGCUUUGUGAUGUCAUAGCGUGGGCGGAACCAACCGCCUUAAAAGAGCUGCUGACAGAAGCGAGCCCUCAGUCCGUCUUGGAUUUCGCUUGGUGAACACACACAGAGAGAUUUCUCCUGCAGGAAGUGUAACUAGGAUUGCGAUAUACAAACCCGAGAUAUUAUUCAUAGUCAGAUUGCGGUAGAAGCCGUACAUUAGGAUCGGAUUACUUUCAGGAAUUCCAUAGAGUUUUCAGAUACAGAUUGAAGAUGCUGACAUACAACCACGCUAUCAACGAACUCAUUGAGUUCGUAAUGCGCAUAAGAGAGAAGAGGAUAAGAGAGGCGAGG